UACAGAGGGUGCGAGCGUUAAUCGGAAUUACUGGGCGUAAAGCGCGCGUAGGCGGCUUUUCAAGUCGAUUGUGAAAUCCCCGGGCUUAACCUGGGAACUGCAUUCGAGACUGCAUUACUAGAGUAUGGGGGAGGGAAGUGGAAUUUCCGGUGUAGCGGUGAAAUGCGUAGAUAUCGGAAGGAACAUCAGUGGCGAAAGCGACUUCCUGGACCAAUACUGACGCUCAUGUGCGAAAGCGUGGGGAGCAAACAGG
rnacentral:rRNA from 1 species